GAUGAACGCUGGCGGCGUGCCUAAUACAUGCAAGUCGAGCGAACGGACGAGAAGCUUGCUUCUCUGAUGUUAGCGGCGGACGGGUGAGUAACACGUGGAUAACCUACCUAUAAGACUGGGAUAACUUCGGGAAACCGUAGCUAAUACCGGAUAAUAUUUUGAACCGCAUGGUUCAAAAGUGAAGGACGGUCUUGCUGUCACUUAUAGAUGGAUCCGCGCUGCAUUAGCUAGUUGGUAAGGUAACGGCUUACCAAGGCAACGAUGCAUAGCCGACCUGAGAGGGUGAUCGGCCACACUGGAACUGAGACACGGUCCAGACUCCUACGGGAGGCAGCAGUAGGGAAUCUUCCGCAAUGGGCGAAAGCCUGACGGAGCAACGCCGCGUGAGUGAUGAAGGUCUUCGGAUCGUAAAACUCUGUUAUUAGGAAAGAACAUAUGUGUAAGUAACUGUGCACAUCUUGACGGUACCUAAUCAGAAAGCCACGGCUAACUACGUG
rnacentral:rRNA from 1 species